UACAGAGGUCCCGAGCGUUGUGCGGAUUCACUGGGCGUAAAGGGGGCGUAGGUGGCUACUUUAAGUUUGAUGUGAAAGCUCCGGGCUUAACCCGGAAAUGGCAUUGAAGACUAUUGAGCUAGAGGUUUGGAGGGGGGACUGGAAUGCUUGGUGUAGCAGUGAAAUGCGUAGAUAUCAAGCGGAACACCGGUGGCGAAGGCGAGUCCCUGGACAACACCUGACACUGAGGCACGAAAGCUAGGGGAGCAAACGGG
rnacentral:rRNA from 1 species